rnacentral:rRNA from 1 species
UACGUAGGGGGCUAGCGUUGUCCGGAAUCAUUGGGCGUAAAGCGCGUGUAGGCGGUCCGGUAAGUCCGCUGUGAAAGUCGGGGGCUCAACCCUCGGAUGCCGGUGGAUACUGUCGGGCUUGAGUACGGAAGAGGCGAGUGGAAUUCCUGGUGUAGCGGUGAAAUGCGCAGAUAUCGAGAGGAACACCAAUGGCGAAGGCAGCUCGCUGGGACGUGACUGACGCUGAGACGCGAAAGCGUGGGGAGCAAACAGG